AGAGUUUGAUCAUGGCUCAGAGCGAACGCUGGCGGCAGGCUUAACACAUGCAAGUCGAGCGGGCGUAGCAAUACGUCAGCGGCAGACGGGUGAGUAACGCGUGGGAACGUACCUUUUGGUUCGGAACAACCCAGGGAAACUUGGGCUAAUACCGGAUAAGCCCUUACGGGGAAAGAUUUAUCGCCGAAAGAUCGGCCCGCGUCUGAUUAGCUAGUUGGUGAGGUAACGGCUCACCAAGGCGACGAUCAGUAGCUGGUCUGAGAGGAUGAUCAGCCACAUUGGGACUGAGACACGGCCCAAACUCCUACGGGAGGCAGCAGUGGGGAAUAUUGGACAAUGGGCGCAAGCCUGAUCCAGCCAUGCCGCGUGAGUGAUGAAGGCCCUAGGGUUGUAAAGCUCUUUUGUGCGGGAAGAUAAUGACGGUACCGCAAGAAUAAGCCCCGGCUAACUUCGUGCCAGCAGCCGCGGUAAUACGAAGGGGGCUAGCGUUGCUCGGAAUCACUGGGCGUAAAGGGUGCGUAGGCGGGUCUUUAAGUCAGGGGUGAAAUCCUGGAGCUCAACUCCAGAACUGCCUUUGAUACUGAGGAUCUUGAGUCCGGGAGAGGUGAGUGGAACUGCGAGUGUAGAGGUGAAAUUCGUAGAUAUUCGCAAGAACACCAGUGGCGAAGGCGGCUCACUGGCCCGGUACUGACGCUGAGGCACGAAAGCGUGGGGAGCAAACAGGAUUAGAUACCCUAGUAGUCC
rnacentral:rRNA from 1 species